AACGCGAAGAACCUUACCUGGGCUCGAAAUGUAGUGGAAUGGGGUGGAAACAUCCCCGUCUCGCAAGAGACUGCUAUAUAGGUGCUGCAUGGCUGUCGUCAGCUCGUGUCGUGAGAUGUUGGGUUAAGUCCCGCAACGAGCGCAACCCUUAUCCCUAGUUGCCAUCGGGUCAAGCCGGGCACUCUAGUGAAACUGCCUGGGAUAACCAGGAGGAAGGUGGGGAUGACGUCAAGUCCUCAUGGCCUUUAUGUCCAGGGCUACACACGUGCUACAAUGGUCGGUACAAACCGUCGCAAACCCGUGAGGGGGAGCUAAUCGGAAAAAGCCGGCCUCAGUUCGGAUUGGAGUCUGCAACCCGACUCCAUGAAGCUGGAAUCGCUAGUAAUCGCGGAUCAGAACGCCGCGGUGAAUACGUUCCCGGGCCUUGUA
rnacentral:rRNA from 1 species